rnacentral:rRNA from 1 species
AGGAUUAACGCUGGCGGCGUGCAUGAAACAUGCAAGUCGAGCGCGGUGUGAUGCGGGGUAACCCAAUUCACAUCUAGCGGCGAACGGGUGAGUAACACGUGAGCAACCUACCUUUGAGUUGGGGAUAGCCCUGGGAAACCAGGAUUAAUACCCGAUGUGGUCACAACAGGACAUCCUGAUGUGAGUAAAGGCGCAAGCCGCUCAAUGACGGGCUCGCGGCCUAUUAGCUUGUUGGUGGGGUAACGGCCUACCAAGGCGAUGAUGGGUAGCUGGUCUGAGAGGACGAUCAGCCACACUGGGACUGAGACACGGCCCAGACUCCUACGGGAGGCAGCAGUUAGGAAUUUUCCGCAAUGGGCGAAAGCCUGACGGAGCGACGCCGCGUGUGGGAAGAAGGCCUUCGGGUCGUAAACCACUGUCGAAGGGGACGAGUAAUGACGGUACCCUUGGAGGAAGCCCCGGCUAACUACGUGCCAGCAGCCGC